AUUACCUUUGAAGAUUGUUUCAUUCCUUUCAUCCCUUUAAACAUUACAUUUAAAUUUUGUUUUUAUGUGUUUGUUAAAUGGGGUCUUCUAGAGCUACAGAUACAGGUAUUUGUGAGCCACUUAAGGGGUUGCUGGAAGCAGAACUCUGGGUCCUUUGUAGCGGAUGCUCUUAACUGCUGAGUCAUUUCUUUAGCCCUUGUUUUAUUCUUUUAUCUGUCCCAUAUAAGUAUGGGAAGACAAGGAAAAUAAAUUGAGAGGAGAAACGUUAACAUGUUAUUUUACUUUUGAUGAAAAAAAGUAAUUCUUUUAAUUUUUUCUAGCAAUUACCAUAAUUUUCAAGUUGGAGGACUGCUGGGUGGGGAGGUGGUAGGCAUGUGGUUUUGCCUCUAAAGUCAAGUCCUAAAACACAUGUAUUUUAGGAUAGUGUGACUUUACAGUUUAAUUAUAGAAUCUAUAUAAUUUUUUUUAAAAAGCAAGUAUUUUCUGCUCUGAUUUACCUAACCUGUGUUAUUCUAGGUUAGUACUUAACUCAACUGUGAUACCAUAGCUUUUAGAAAGAUUGAUGGUAGAACUUUAGUGUCCAGUGUGUUAAAUUAAUUGUUUAGAUAUGUUCUCCUGAAUGCUAAUAUAUAUUAUAAUAUUGAUAUCAUUCUUUUAUCUUUAUAUAGCAUAAUAAAUUUAAGCACAGGGUGCCAUGCAGAAGGGUAAUAAAUGAAUAGAUUUUUAAUUUUUAAAAAUUUAUAUGUAUGGGCAUUUUGCCUGCGUGUAUGUCUGUUUAUCACAUGUGUGUCUGGUGACUGAAGGCUGCAAAAGGUAUUAGAUCCCCUGUGACUGGAAUUACAAUUAUGAGCUGCCAUAUAUGGGCUGAGAAAAUCCCCUGUCUUCUGGAAAAGCAUCCAGGGUUCUACUGCUAAGGCUUCUCUCCUGCCACAUGAAUAGGUUUUGAGGAACGGUUGAGUAAAUUUGUUUUUAAAAUCAACUUUGUGAUCUUAGUCAAGUUUCAGCCUUUUUCUUCUCUAUCUGUGAAUUGAGAGAAUUAUGGAAGAUAGCAUUGGGGUGAUAGUGCAACCAUGAAUUUCAUUGGAUAAAGGAAAGGGAGAAGAUGACAGAGAAACACCUAAGCUACUCAGCAAGCCUGCUGUGGUCUCAUGGAGAAUCCCCAGAGUAUGGGUUUCCAGGCUGUUCCACAGUUUAUUGGACUGAUGAUGCAUUUGGUGUUGUAUUUAUUCUAAACUUGUGAUAACCUCUGAGCUUCUCUAUAUCUAUCUUAAGUUUGCUGCUAUCUUAAUAUGAAAAUUGGAAAUAUUACAAUAUUAUUGACCUAACUGGACUUUUUGUUGUCUUAUCAGUUAUAAUACUUAAUGGUGAUACCUGAGAGUCAAACUUAUUCCAGAUGUUAGAAGUAGAGCUAGUGCGAUGUGCUGUGCACAACUUGUCCAGAGACUUCUGUUUUGAAGCUCACCUUUGUAAACAGAGAGCAGCUUUUUAAAUAUUGUAUCUCAAAUGGACAGGCUGCUUACAACGUAGACUCUCUUAUUCUUAAUGUCAGUAUGUAUCAUCCUGGGCUCAGGCUGCUUUUUCUUUUCUUUUUAUUUUUUUACAUCCUGCUCACUGCCCCCCUCCCAGUCAUCCCCCCCCCACAGUCCUUCCCCCAUACUCCCUCCCCUUCUCCCCUGAGGGGUUCCCCCCACCCUCUACUUCAAGUCUUUGUGAAGCUAGGCACUUCUUCACCCGCUGAGACCAGACAAGGCAGCCCUGCUAGAACACCCCUUGUACAGGUAACAGCUUUUGGGAUAGUCUUCAUCCCAAUUAUUCAGGGCUCGCAUAAAGACCAAGCUGCACAUCUGCUGCAUAUGUGCAGGGAGGCCUAGGUCCAGCCUGUGUAUGUUCUUUGGUUGGUGGUCCAGUCUCUGAGAGCCUCAAGGGUCCAGGUUAGUUGACUGUGUUGGUCCUGCAGUUCUUCCUUCUAUUAUUCCAUCAGAGUCCCCAAGCUCCAUCCACUGUUUGGCUCUGGGUGUCUGUAUCUAUUUGAGUCAGCUUCUGGGUAGAGACUCUCAGAGGACAACGUGCUCCUGUCUGCAAGAAUAACAGAUAUCAUUAGUAAUGUUAGGGAUUGGCGCUUGCCCAUGGGAUGGGACUCAAGUUGGGCAGGUUAUUGGUUGGCCAUUCCCACAGUCUGCUUCAUCCUCAUCCCUCCAUUUCUUGUAGACAGGAUAAAUUUUAGGUUGAAAGUUUUGUGGGUGGGUUGGUAUUUCUGUUGCUCCACUGGGGUUCUUGCCUGGCUACAGGAAGUGGGCUUUUUAGGUUCCAUAUCCAGAAUGCAGUGAGUCACAUUUAGGUUGUUUUUCUAACUUAACUAGUUGCAUAGCCUUUUUUCCCCUUGGAUUUUAUAAUGUUUUAAAUUAACAACAUAGAUAAGCACAGUGCACUCUUUUGGAAAACAUGAAAUGUUAGUUAUGUAGUGGUGAUGUGAAUUAUGUAAACUAUGUUGAACAUUGGAAGAUAGCAAUAGUGUUUUCCAAAAAUAGAGAUUUAUUCUAAACUUUUCUUCCAAGGCUGCAUGUACCAUUUCAGGAGAAUGACUAUAAAUAAGAGCUUGAUUUCUGGAAGCAGUGGGCUGUUGUUUUGUUUUUAAAGAAAGGAAGUAAUAAUUUGCUUUUCAUUGCUGAGAAUUUAUCUCAGUAUUUACGUUGAUUAUACAUCGUUUCAACAAACUGGGGUCUCUUUAGGAUAGUGUCAUAAAAUAGAAGGGAUUCAAACUUACUUACCCAGUGGCUUUAUCAUUUUAGCACUUAUGUUUGUUUACUAGCAACACUAAAUCUGAUUUUUAUAACUCAUAGAAAUUCUUAACUAUAGUAUCCAGAUCUCUGAGAUGUUCAUAUUUGCCACUUUCCCCUACAUUCCUGAACUGGC
rnacentral:lncRNA from 1 species